rnacentral:rRNA from 1 species
UACGUAGGGGGCAAGCGUUAUCCGGAUUUACUGGGUGUAAAGGGAGCGUAGACGGCAGUGCAAGUCUGGAGUGAAAGGCGGGGGCUCAACCCCCGGACUGCUCUGGGAACUGUACGGCUGGAGUGCAGGAGAGGUAAGUGGAAUUCCUAGUGUAGCGGUGAAAUGCGUAGGUAUUAGGAGGAACACCAGUGGCGAAGGCGGCUUACUGGACUGUAACUGACGUUGAGGCUCGAAAGCGUGGGGAGCAAACAGG